GACAUGCUAGUUGAGCGCUUCCAGCCAACACGGGAGCGCAGCGCACAGCUCAGUAACACGUGGCUAAUCUGCCCUUGGGAUAGGAACAUCCCCGGGAAACUGGGGCUAAUUCCCAAUAGGCGAAGAACUCUGGAAUGAGUCUUCACCAGAAAAGACGUUUGCGUUAUGCUCGUAGACGUCGCCCAAGGAUGAGGCCGCGACCGAUCAGGUUGUUGGUGAGGCAAUGGCUCACCAAGCCUUUUACCGGUGCGGGCCGUGAGAGCGGGAGCCCGGAGAUGGGCACUGAGACAAGGGCCCAGGCCCUACGGGGCGCAGCAGUCGCGAAAACUUUGCAAUACACGAAAGUGUGACAGGGCUAUCCCGAGUGCCAUCCGCUGAGGAAGGCUUUUACCCAGUCUAGAACGCUGGGGGAAUAAGGAGAGGGCAAGUCUGGUGUCAGCCGCCGCGGUAAUACCAGCUCUCCGAGUGGUGUGGAUGUUUAUUGGGCCUAAAGCAUCCGUAGCUGGCUAAGUUAGUCCCUUGUUAAAUCCACCGAAUUAAUCGUUGGAUUGCGGGGGAUACUGCUUGGCUAGGGGACGAGAGAGGCAGACGGUAUUUCCGGGGUAGGGGUGAAAUCCUAUAUCCCGGGAAGACCACCAGUGGCGAAGGCUGUCUGCUAGAAGCGCCCGACGGUGAGGGAUGAAAGCUGGGGGAGCGACGGAUAGAUACCCGGGUAGUCCCAGCUUGUAACGAUGCAGCUAGGUGUUUGAWGCCACGUGCGUUCAGUGCCGCAGGACUGUAGCUGCCCUGGGGAGUACGAUCGCAGAUGACUACAUGG
rnacentral:rRNA from 1 species